GACGAACGCUGGCGGCGUGCUUAACACAUGCAAGUCGAACGGAAAGGCCCUGCUUUUGUGGGGUGCUCGAGUGGCGAACGGGUGAGUAACACGUGAGUAACCUGCCCUUGACUUUGGGAUAACUUCAGGAAACUGGGGCUAAUACCGGAUAGGAGCGCCUGCUGCAUGGUGGGGGUUGGAAAGUUUCGGCGGUGGGGGAUGGACUCGCGGCUUAUCAGCUUGUUGGUGGGGUAGUGGCUUACCAAGGCUUUGACGGGUAGCCGGCCUGAGAGGGUGACCGGCCACAUUGGGACUGAGGUACGGCCCAGACUCCUACGGGAGGCAGCAGUGGGGAAUAUUGCACAAUGGGCGGAAGCCUGAUGCAGCAACGCCGCGUGCGGGAUGACGGCCUUCGGGUUGUAAACCGCUUUCGCCUGUGACGAAGCGUGAGUGACGGUAAUGGGUAAAGAAGCACCGGCUAACUACGUG
rnacentral:rRNA from 1 species